UUUUCCGUGAUGUAGUGGUUGUCAUAUGCGCCUAACACGCAGAAGGUCGUCGCUUCGAUCCCGGUUGGAAACA